rnacentral:rRNA from 1 species
GUAGUCUCGCACAGAUGCAUAUCAAUAAGCGGAGGAAAAGAAACUAACAAGGAUUCCCCUAGUAACGGCGAGUGAAGCGGGAAGAGCUCAAAUUUGAAAUCUUAAAGGGUUUCCCUUUACGAAUUGUAGUUUAAAGAAGUGUUUUCUGUUGAGGUUUAGGUAAAAGUUCUUUGGAAUAGGACAUCAUAGAGGGUGAGAAUCCCGUAUUUGACCUUUACUUUCAACUUUGUGAUACACUUUCAAAGAGUCGGAUUGUUUGGGAAUGCAGUCCAAAAUGGGUGGUAAAUUUCAUCUAAAGCUAAAUAUUGGCGAGAGACCGAUAGCGAACAAGUACCGUGAGGGAAAGAUGAAAAGAACUUUGAAAAGAGAGUUAAACAGUACGUGAAAUUGUCAAAAGGGAAGCGUUUGACACCAGUGUUGUUUUUCUGAAAAUCAAUUAAAGAACUGUUUAUGCUAAGUUGUUUAGACUUUAUCAGCUAUCUGUUUAGUUUUGAGCUUUUCUUUAAUGCACUUUUCAGUUAACAAGUCAACAUCAAUUUCUUUUGCUGUAAAAAAGCUUGAGGAAGGUGGCUUGAGAUUCGUCUUAAGUGUUUAUAGCCUCUUGCCUAUGCAGUCGGAGAGAUUGAGGUCUGCAGCGUAGAUCCUUCGGGGCUAAAUGCAUUUGUGCUAAGUUAUAGCAUUUCAUAGACAACUUGUUGACUAUGAUUUGUCUUGUAGCUUACUCGCUUAUGUUAUUUUACCUACGCUUAGGAUGUUGACAGCAGUAUAGACUGU